GCUGCCGCAGCUCAGUGAGCACUACAGCUGAUUUCGGUGCAGAGCCUGGAGCCAGGGAGUCGCCCUGACAAGUCCCGGCUAUCCAAAACUAAUACUGAUAACACUUGUGAAGACAACCGACAAGCAUCACAAGUCUAAGCUAUUCACAAUAAUUAACUGCCAAGAAGAGUCCUUCACCACAGCAGCCAACUCCUUGUAAGAGGAUAGCACUCCAGAUGAAUAUUUGGAAGGAUAGUGCAGCACAAUCAUCCAAAAUCUCAUCUUUUGAUUAGCUUGUUGUAAUCGUAUUUUCAUUGUCAGCAUUUACUGAGAUACUGAGAAGUUCUAGUACAUUUGCUACCGUGUCUGUCAGAUAUUGUUUUCUUAAAAUGUGAAGCUAUUCAAAAAACUGUAAGGAAUGUGAUCUGGAGAAAUGCAAAGAAGUACUGAGUGAAGGUGAGUGGAGUACUUACAUAUGAAAAAAAAAAGUAAGAAACUGACUUAAAACGGAAAUGUAUUUUUUCCUUCAAAGCUGAUAAGACUGAAUUUGAGCUUACACAUUAAGUCCUGAACAGGUUCAACAGAAGCAUGUGAUUAAAUAAUAAUAAAAAAGGUUAUUAAAGUGAAAAGCAGGCAGUAUUAGAAAAAUAUGUACUUUUUGGGAAGAAGAGCAGGAAAGACAGACAAAAAAAAUGGUAGAUAAACACAACUAAAAACCAACUUACAUAUUAAGAAGUUGAGUGUUUUAGCUUGAAAAGGCUUAUCAAAAAUGUCUACAAAGGAGAUAAAUGCUUUCUCUUUAACUAGCAGCCAGAUUGAAAGAGUCAGUGAGGACUGAGUGACAAAGGAUAAGAAACCACAGAUUUAUUAAAAUCAUUGUUUUCCUUCUGAUUUUGUUGUGUUAGAAGUUAAAAUGAAAUGUGCUACUACAUCUGAAAGAACUGAAAUUUGGAAAGGCUUCAGGUAGAAAUAUAUAUCUGUGCAUUUUAGUUAAGAUACGCAAGAAGAGAGUGACGAUUCACUUUGCCUUGUGGACUCUUGAAAUCACACUGACUAUUUUUCAAAAUAUGUGGUUUAGAAAUACAUUGUUGUAUUGCUUAAAACUGUAUUUAAUUUGCUUUUCUCAGGUUUUUUUUUUUUUUCCUCAAGGUCAUUUAGAUUCACAGACAUAGACAUACUAGUUAAAAGUUAAUUUACUUUUGUUGAUUAUUCAGCAGUGGAAGUCAUAUACUUCUCCCACUGGCAUCAUUACCAUGAAUUAAUAGCACUGCUCACUGUUAUUUUUAUUGGAAAGAAUGACUUUCAACUAUUAUGUCUCAGCUGGAGCAAUCAUACAAUAUCUUAGGUUAUCUUAUUCAUUCCACAUAUUAAAAUAACUUGAGUGCUACCCUUAAGUGGAUGAAUAUUGUAGGAUAUAAUAAGAGAACAUAAUGAAACCUUGUUUCUUCAGACAUCUCCCAAUCUGGGUUUAAUUAAACUCCUUUUUUUGUUUUUGUUGUUAUUAAAUCUAAUCAAGUUUUGUGAAUUGGUCUUAAAGAAAAUCUGAAGAGAAGACACUUCUCUGUCCUAGAGGCUCAAUUCUGCAUUCAUUGCUUAUGACAUUUCUGUAGUAUUCUUCCAGUAAUUUUAGUGUCCAGGGACAGAGAGACUGGGCCUUGGGAAGGAACAUAUAAAGGAAAAUCAAUUUACCUUUCCUGAAAAUCCAGUAACAAGGACUAAGAAUACAGUGCCUGUUGGAGCUCAAACCAAGGCAUAGGGGAAGGCUGGCAUCCCCCCAAGCGCUCAUGGAGCUACCUGACCCUGACCGUGUCCCACCCGUAGCCCACUGCAGCCAGUACGCAUCAGAUUGGCCCCAGGCUGGUGCCUAUGGUGUGAAUGAGUGGAGAGAAGCUGCCUGGCUACCUGUGGCCAUACCAUCUUGUGUCAGGAUGGUAAAGCUUGUAUCUGGGUUAUUCUUGGCUUUCACUAAUUGCUGUCUAUAUGAUCAAGGAAAAUUUGUUGGGAGGAAAACAGUGACACAAAGAAAGUCACGGCAGGCCAUACAUUUAUUUGUGGCACUAAAGGGGUGGGAGGGUCUGAUUUCUGUUCUCUGCAUGGAACAGUAUUUGCCCUGUUGACCCCUUGUCCAUCAGCUGUUAUGGCUUCUGUCUGUCUGGCUCCUGUAGCAAUGUAUUCUCAGUUCUGUGCCUGUUGUAAGAAUCACCGUCAAAAAAGACAGACAAAUGAAAUCAACAACUAGGAGAAAAGCAAAACAAGGAAGCUUUCCUUCUCAACAGAAUAAAAUCUAGCAUUUGUUUUCACCUCACUGUUAAGCUCCUCUUUUUAUAAAGCAAUCAGAAGUUUAAACAGGGAGGAAAAUUGCUCACAAAUCCAAUAAAAUUUGGAAUCUGCAGCUACCAGCAAUACCAGGGGAUUUCCACCCAAUAUAUUUGCCAACAAAUCAAUAACAAGAGUAAAUCCUUCUACACUAAGGGCAAUAAAAUGCUCACUAACAGGUGCCAUCACCUAAAUGAAUAUAAUCCCCCUAGUGCUCUGUAUGUGUCAAAGUUAAUACCAAAGGAAGCUUACGCUUUACAUGUGAUAAGCUAAAGGAUAUUUCUUAAUAGUGGUUUAAAUAAAAGGAAAUUAUGUGGAGAUUUUGAAUUUAAUGAUUAUGAACUGACUUUGCUCCACUGAAGCCUCUUCCUGAGAUGCUGGGUUUUCUUAUCCCAAAGAGAAUACUAGUCCACCAGGACUUAUGCUAAGUCUGAAAUGAAUUCAUAAUACUUUUUAAUUUGGAGGCCAUCCAAAAAAAGUGAGUUUUUUUCUUUUGUCAGGAUGUUUAUCUGAUGUUUACUUGUGACUAAAGAUAACUUAUAUGUUCUGCACAAGAUCUUUAAUAUUCAGCUGUUUCUUUUUUGACUCAUUUCUGACAUUAUUAUCAUUUACAAUUAUCAUGUAAAAUAUGGUUCAUGAAACUUUCUGAGGUACCCUAAUGUUCCUUGCCACCAUUUAUCCAAAGUGGUUUGAUCUUUGAUACUCAUGAGUCCCGCCUCAGACUCUAAAUAUCCACCAGUUGCUGACUCAUGAAGAGUGGAAAAUCCAUAGAUGGAAAAGAAACCCACGAAACCAAACACACACAC